GCCCUUGUAGCUCAGUAGGUAUGUAAACUGCAAAGAGCGUUCGACUGUUAAUCGAAAGGUCGCAGGUUCGAGACCUGCCAAGGGCG
rnacentral:tRNA from 1 species